UGGCGGACGGGUGAGUAACGCGUGGGUAACCUGCCUUGUACUGGGGGACAACAGUUGGAAACGACUGCUAAUACCGCAUAAGCGCACAGCUUCGCAUGAAGCAGUGUGAAAAACUCCGGUGGUAUAAGAUGGACCCGCGUUGGAUUAGCUAGUUGGUGAGGUAACGGCCCACCAAGGCGACGAUCCAUAGCCGACCUGAGAGGGUGACCGGCCACAUUGGGACUGAGACACGGCCCAA
rnacentral:rRNA from 1 species